rnacentral:rRNA from 1 species
UCUAUUUGUCAUCACUAACCCAUCAUCAGUAUUGAAUAAACUCAUAAAUUAUGAAAAUUAUUAUGCUAGAACUAGUAACAAGAAAAUGAAUUUCUCCAAAGCGUAAGCAUAAGCCAAAACGGACAACCCUUUGGUGAUUAACGGCUCUGAAACUAUUAUAGUAAAAUAUCUAGAAAACUCUAUACCUCGCACCGUUAACCUUAACCCAAAAACUCUUCUGGAAAGAUUAAAAGGAAGAGAAGGAACUCGGCAAAUCUUAACCCCGCCUGUUUACCAAAAACAUCGCCUCUUGCUUGAAUAUAAGAGGUCUAGCCUGCCCAGUGUUUUAAUCAACGGCCGCGUGAUUUAAGCGCGCGAAGGUAGCGUAAUAAUUUGUUCUUUAAAUGAGGACUUGUAUCAAUGGCAUCACGAGGGUUAUACUGUCUCCUCUCCCCAAUCAGUGAAACUAAUCUCCCUGUGAAAAAGCAGGAAUAAACCAAUAAGACGAGAAGACCCCAUGGAGCUUAAAAUACAGCAACAACCCUAAUUAGAUAACCAAUAUAAUUUUAAGUCCUGUAUGCUAAUUUUAGGUUGGGGUGACCACGGAGCAAAGCAAAGCCUCCACAACGUAAAGGGCCUACACCCUUAUCCAAGAGACACACCUCUAGAAUUAUAAAAAUAACGUAUAAUGAUCCGACUAUCGACCAACGGACCAAGUUACCCUGGGGAUAACAGCGCAAUCCACUUUAAGAGUCCCUAUCGACGAGUGGGCUUACGAACCUCGAUGUUGGAUCAGGAUAUCCCAGUGGUGCAGCCGCUACUAAAGG